rnacentral:rRNA from 1 species
GAGUAACUGUUGACAUCGUGACGGUAUCCAACCAGAAAGCCACGGCUAACUACGUGCCAGCAGCCGCGGUAAUACGUAGGUGGCAAGCGUUGUCCGGAUUUAUUGGGCGUAAAGCGAGCGCAGGCGGUUUCUUAGGUCUGAUGUGAAAGCCUUCGGCUUAACCGGAGAAGUGCAUCGGAAACCGGGAGACUUGAGUGCAGAAGAGGACAGUGGAACUCCAUGUGUAGCGGUGAAAUGCGUAGAUAUAUGGAAGAACACCAGUGGCGAAGGCGGCUGUCUGGUCUGCAACUGACGCUGAAGCUCGAAAGCAUGGGUAGCGAACAGGAUUAGAUACCCUGGUAGUCCAUGCCGUAAACGAUGAGUGCUAAGUGUUGGAGGGUUUCCGCCCUUCAGUGCUGCAGCUAACGCAUUAAGCACUCCGCCUGGGGAGUACGACCGCAAGGUUGAAACUCAAAGGAAUUGACGGGGGCCCGCACAAGCGGUGGAGCAUGUGGUUUAAUUCGAUGCUACGCGAAGAACCUUACCAGGUCUUGACAUCUUCUGCUAACCUAAGAGAUUAGGCGUUCCCUUCGGGGACGGAAUGACAGGUGGUGCAUGGUUGUCGUCAGCUCGUGUCGUGAGAUGUUGGGUUAAGUCCCGCAACGAGCGCAACCCUUAUUGUCAGUUGCCAGCAUUUAGUUGGGCACUCUGGCGAGACUGCCGGUGACAAACCGGAGGAAGGUGGGGAUGACGUCAAAUCAUCAUGCCCCUUAUGACCUGGGCUACACACGUGCUACAAUGGACGGUACAACGAGUCGCGAAACCGCGAGGUCAAGCUAAUCUCUGAAAGCCAUUCUCAGUUCGGAUUGCAGGCUGCAACUCGCCUGCAUGAAGUUGGAAUCGCUAGUAAUCGUGGAUCAGCAUGCCACGGUGAAUACGUUCCCGGGCCUUGUACACACCGCCCGUCACACCAUGAGAGUUUGUAACACCCAAAGCCGGUGAGGUAACCUUCGGGGGCCAGCCGUCUAAGGUGGGACAGAUGAUUAGGGUGAAGUCGUAACAAGGUAGCCGUAGGAGAACCUGCGGCUGGAUCACCUCCUUUCAA